CAGAGCCCCACCUACAGGCCGCUGAAACUUCACAGCCACCGCCACUGACAAACACAAACCGAGGCUUCACCGGCUCUGCGGUGGCCUGUGACCACUGAAGACCCACAAUUCACGCCUCCCCAUCAGGCUAGCAGCUGCCUGUCUGUCUGUCCACGUAGCUGUGUGCAUGUGUGUGUGUUUGCACCAACACACUCCAGGGCCAGAAUUGAACUCUUCCGUUGGGAUGGGCGGAGCAGAUGGUCAGGGCACACAUAAUACAUGCACAGAACCACGGCAAGCCAAAAUAAUGUGAUAAAGUAGAUCUAAGAUAACACCCAGUUCCUGGUGUUUCUUGUAUUGGGUGAAAAAUGUUGUCACAGAAGUACCCUUACCUUCACUGUUACAAGGGAUAUUGACAACACAUUGUAUAGACUAGUCUUCUAAUGAAAAGACUACAAAUGAUGGCCAACAUGGAGGUGCUGAGUGUUCUGUGACAGGAACUAAUUAGUUGGUAUUUGUUAGCCACAGAACAUUCCUGAGGAACAAACUCAGCAAACUAAGCUACAGUUUCAUAGCUGAGAAUUUGGAUAAAGGCUACAAUAUCCACAGGAUCACACAAUUAAAAUUGAUUGUGUGUGGAAAAGUGUUGGAACCAGCUCUGUUAUAUUUUGCUCUACUGAUAUUGACAAUGGGUGGUCUCUUGCAGUGAGGAAAAGAAGAAGGAGCAGUUGCUAAGAGAUGGUCCAGUGUCUGAAUUCUGGGAGUAAAAUGUAUAGACCCCCUGAUUGAAAAGGUCCAGUGAACGAGCCCUCUCCCAAUAAGCAUGCUUGUGUUUUCUUGCUCUAGUAGCGUUAGCCGUCUGGCUACUAUCUGCCUCUUUAGCCGUGCUGGGAGCAUCUUUCUUAGCUGACUGACAAAAGUUGUCAGCUGCCUCUUUUUUAUCUCCUUCCUUCUUUUGCACCGUAAUUUAUGUUCAGGUCUUGGUAUAGCAACAACAUUCACUCCGAC